GAUGAACGCUGGCGGCGUGCCUAAUACAUGCAAGUCGAGCGAACGGACGAGAAGCUUGCUUCUCUGAUGUUAGCGGCGGACGGGUGAGUAACACGUGGAUAACCUACCUAUAAGACUGGGAUAACUUCGGGAAACCGUAGCUAAUACCGGAUAAUAUUUUGAACCGCAUGGUUCAAAAGUGAAAGACGGUCUUGCUGUCACUUAUAGAUGGAUCCGCGCUGCAUUAGCUAGUUGGUAAGGUAACGGCUUACCAAGGCAACGAUGCAUAGCCGACCUGAGAGGGUGAUCGGCCGCACUGGAGCUGAGACACGGUCCAGACUCCUACGGGAGGCAGCAGUAGGGAAUCUUCCGCAGUGGGCGAAAGCCUGACGGAGCAACGCCGCGUGAGUGAUGAAGGUCUUCGGAUCGUAAAGCUCUGUUAUUAGGGAAGAACAUAUGUGUAAGUAACUGUGCACAUCUUGACGGUACCUAAUCAGAAAGCCACGGCUAACUACGUG
rnacentral:rRNA from 1 species